UCGAUUUUUUUGCGUUCUAAUUUAAAAUUUUGUUGCUCGAUGGAUGCAGAAUAAAAAAUAUAUUCAUAAACUCAGCCUGGAACGAUUCAUUGUUACAUGUAAAGAAUUUCGAUACCAGCUCGGCGCAAUUUGUAUGUAAACGAUUAAGGUACCUCUGUACGUUCAAUUAGUAUACCCUUGAUUUUGGUGUAAGCUAGCUAAACAUAUUUAAGUUCGUACUAAAGGUUUUCUAACUAGUACGAACGAAAAUUUUUUUAACAAUAAUUAGUGUCUGCAACUUGAGGACUGGCAGUUUGUCUUAAGGGGCUUUUGAACGGCUUAAGAAGUAUAUUUUUGGCUUCUCGAGCCCUUUUCUUUGAAAAAGGUGUAGUAAUUGGUAAAGAAGUAUGUAUUUUUGUAUCUCGCAGGUCCGGCGUCAAAGCCUUCUCAUUCUCUGGAUGUACUGUUUCUGACUGCUCGAUAAAACCUAGGUUAUCUGAGUGAUUGCCACUGUUAUUGCAUUUAGGAGGGUUUUCUAUUCCUAACUGACCCUGUGAGUCACGUAAAUCACUUUCGCUUAGGGAAACUUUCAAAUCUUCUUUACACUGUGAAGUAGCAUUUUCAUUGAGUUCAGAGUUAAUUGUUUGCGACAUUUUCAGUUAAAUCGUUUUAAAGUACUAAUUCGAAGAUGAAAGAGUGAAUGUUAAAUUAUAACAAAGAUGCAAUGAAGCGCGUAACUUUUGUCAACAAACGCGUUGAGUGUAAUAGUUGAAUGUUUAAACUCUAACUUCAAAUAAUUAAAUGAAUUGAAUAUUAA
rnacentral:misc_RNA from 1 species